rnacentral:rRNA from 1 species
UCCGCCUGGGGAAUACGNCCGCAAGGUUGAAACUCAAAGGAAUNGACGGGGGCCCGCACAAGCGGUGGAGCAUGUGGUUUAAUUNGAAGCAACGCGAAGAACCUUACCAGGUCUUGACAUCCCGAUGCUAUUCUUAGAGAUAGGAAGUUACUUCGGUACAUCGGAGACAGGUGGUGCAUGGUNGUCGUCAGCUCGUGUCGUGAGAUGUUGGGUUNNNNNNNNNNNNCGAGCGCAACCCUUAUUGUUAGUUGCCAUCAUUAAGUUGGGCACUCUAGCGAGACUGCCGGUAAUAAACCGGAGGAAGGUGGGGAUGACGUCAAAUCAUCAUGCCCCUUAUGACCUGGGCUACACACGUGCUACAAUGGUCGGUACAACGAGUUGCGAGCCGGUGACGGCAAGCUAAUCUCUGAAAGCCGAUCUCAGUUCGGAUUGGAGGCUGCAACUCGCCUCCAUGAAGUCGGAAUCGCUAGUAAUCGCGGAUCAGCACGCCGCGGUGAAUACGUUCCCGGGC